CCUACGGGAGGCAGCAGUGGGGAAUUUUCCGCAAUGGGCGAAAGCCUGACGGAGCAAUACCGCGUGAGGGAGGAAGGCUCUUGGGUUGUAAACCUCUUUUUUCAGGGAAGAUAAUGACGGUACCUGAGGAAUAAGCAUCGGCUAACUCCGUGCCAGCAGCCGCGGUAAUACGGAGGAUGCAAGCGUUAUCCGGAAUGAUUGGGCGUAAAGCGUCCGCAGGUGGUUUUAAAAGUCUGUUGUUAAAGCGUGAGGCUUAACCUCAUAAGGGCAAUGGAAACUGUAAGACUAGAGUACGUUCGGGGCAAGGGGAAUUCCCAGUGUAGCGGUGAAAUGCGUAGAGAUUGGGAAGAACACCGGUGGCGAAAGCGCCUUGCUAGGCCGUAACUGACACUGAGGGACGAAAGCUAGGGGAGCGAAUGGGAUUAGAUACCCCAGUAGUCCUAGCCGUAAACGAUGGAUACUAGGCGUUGUCUGUAUCGACCCGGACAGUGCCGUAGCUAACGCGUUAAGUAUCCCGCCUGGGGAUACGCACGCAAGUGUGAAACUUAAGGAAUUGACGGCNGAGACUGCACGACGACACGAGGGAGAG
rnacentral:rRNA from 1 species